AUGAGAUGCAGCAACAGGAGGAGAAGAUAGAAAUUAAAAGGAGAAAGAAAAUAUGCAGCAUCAGAGGGUGUAUUAACGAAAACAGCAGGAUGUUCUUCUUCCCCCAAGAGAGAAAGGAUAAGAAGAGGAUGGCACAGUAGGUGGAAGUAUGUGACAACCCAAAGUCUGUGCUUCCACCUGAAAACUGAAAUUCCAGGUGGUCUGUAGCAGCUACUUUAAAGAAAAAUGCUUCAUGAGGAAAAGAUUAACAUCAGCAGUUCCAACACUGAACUUAUUUGAGGCUGUAAUAAAUAUUGCAUAUCAGAGGCUGCCUC